UUCUCCAUUGGUUAUUCAUUUUUGGCGGACUUUUCUUAGCGGAUGUACAACCGCAGCGUAAGCCCAUCCGCUAAGAGUCCGCCAAAACGUAAAAACAUGAAUGGAGAAGUGAACAUACAAGUCUUAUUUCUAUCGUAGGUAAAGAAUCCAAGCAGUACAUCUCUCCACAAUAGUGUAAGAUCUUCAUAAAUGUGUCAACUGCUCCGCCCUCAACCGUAAGGCUCUCCAGAGGGUAGUGAGGUCUGCACAACGCAUCACCGGGGGCAAACUACCUGCCCUCCAGGACACCUACACCACCCGAUGUUACAGGAAGGCCAUAAAGAUCAUCAAGGACAUCAACACCCGAACCACUGCCUGUUCACCCCGCUAUCAUCCAGAAGGCGAGGUCAGUACAAGGUGCAUCAAAGCUGGGACCGAGAGACUGAAAAACAGCUUCUAUCUCAAGGCCAUCAGACUGUUAAACAGCCACCACUAACAUUGAGUGGCUGCUGCCAACACACUGUCAUUGACACUGACCCAACUCCAGCCACUUUAAUAAUGGGAAUUGAUGGGAAAUGAUAUAAAUAUAUCACUAGCCACUUUAAACAAUGCUACCUUAUAUAAUGUUACUUACCCUACAUUAUUCAUCUCAUAUGCAUAUGUAUAUACUGUACUCUAGAUCAUCGACUGCAUUCUUAUGUCACUAGCCACUUUAACUAUGCCACUUUGUUUACUUUGUCUACAUACUCAUCUCAUAUGUAUAUACUGUACUCGAUACCAUCUACUGUAUGCUGCUCUGUACCAUCACUCAUUCAUAUAUCCUUAUGUACAUAUUCCUUAUCCCCUUACACUGUGUAUAAGACAGUAGUUUUGGAAUUGUUAGUUAGAUUACUUGUUGGUUAUCACUGCAUUGUCGGAACUAGAAGCACAAGCAUUUCGCUACACUCGCAUUAACAUCUGCUAACCAUGUGUAUGCAUGUGUAUGUGACAAAUAAAAUUUGAUUUGAAUUAA